AUAACCAUUCCCAUGACUGAAGCUGUUAAAUAAAGGUUGUGGUUGUCGUCACAGUGCUGUGACAGUCUGGAGAACGCCCUGAUCGAAGUGCUUUGGGUCACCACUCCUGGACCCGAUCUGGACCAGGUCCAACGUGAGUCCGAUCACCAGAUCGUUUCCAGACGCUACCCCUGCUGCUACCUGGUCUGGGAUUAUCUCAGGGUACUGGGCAAGCGAGAGAGAGGCUGUAGAUCUUCCUUCAUAAAAAGCCCAAUCCCCCAGCCAACGCAUGUCUGGCAGUCUGGCGUGAUCGUCUGAUGACUUACAGCCUCUCAGAGACAGUCAACAGGACUAACGUCUGUGUGUGUGUGUGUGUGUGUGUGUGUGUGUCUACGCGCGCACACUAAAUGUCUGCUCAUAGAACAGAGGUGAGGAGCACUGAUA